rnacentral:rRNA from 1 species
AUUGAACGCUGGCGGCAUGCCUUACACAUGCAAGUCGAACGGUAGCAGGUCUUCGGAUGCUGACGAGUGGCGAACGGGUGAGUAAUACAUCGGAACGUGCCCGAUCGUGGGGGAUAACGCAGCGAAAGCUGUGCUAAUACCGCAUACGAUCUACGGAUGAAAGCGGGGGAUCUUCGGACCUCGCGCGGACGGAGCGGCCGAUGGCAGAUUAGGUAGUUGGUGGGGUAAAGGCUCACUAAGCCUGCGAUCUGUAGCUGGUCUGAGAGGACGACCAGCCACACUGGGACUGAGACACGGCCCAGACUCCUACGGGAGGCAGCAGUGGGGAAUUUUGGACAAUGGGCGCAAGCCUGAUCCAGCCAUGCCGCGUGCAGGAUGAAGGCCUUCGGGUUGUAAACUGCUUUUGUACGGAACGAAAAGUCUCUUUUUAAUAAAGAGGGAUCAUGACGGUACCGUAAGAAUAAGCACCGGCUAACUACGUGCCAGCAGCCGCAGUAA